AUGAACGCUGGCGGCGUGCCUAAUACAUGCAAGUCGGGCGAACGGACGAGAAGCUUGCUUCUCUGAUGUUAGCGGCGGACGGGUGAGUAACACGUGGAUAACCUACCUAUAAGACUGGGAUAACUUCGGGAAACCGGAGCUAAUACCGGAUAAUAUUUUGAACCGCAUGGUUCAAAAGUGAAAGACGGUCUUGCUGUCACUUAUAGAUGGAUCCGCGCUGCAUUAGCUAGUUGGUAAGGUAACGGCUUACCAAGGCAACGAUGCAUAGCCGACCUGAGAGGGUGAUCGGCCACACUGGAACUGAGACACGGUCCAGACUCCUACGGGAGGCAGCAGUAGGGAAUCUUCCGCAAUGGGCGAAAGCCUGACGGAGCAACGCCGCGUGAGUGAUGAAGGUCUUCGGAUCGUAAAACUCUGUUAUUAGGGAAGAACAUAUGUGUAAGUAACUGUGCACAUCUUGACGGUACCUAAUCAGAAAGCCACGGCUAACUACGUG
rnacentral:rRNA from 1 species